rnacentral:lncRNA from 1 species
GGAAAGCUCAGGUGAUUUCUGCCCUCCAUAAGAUGCACCAGCAGAUCUUCAGCCUCUUUUACACAAGGGCUUGUCUGAUGCUUGGAAUAGGGCCUUCCUGGACAAACUCCAGACUGGAUUUCAUCAGCAGCUGGAAGACCUGGAGACCUGCUUGGUAUAGAGGAUGGGAAGCAAGAGUCUGCCCUGGAAAUUGAGGGCCCUACACUGGCCAUAAAGAGGUACUUCCAGGGAGUACAUUUCUUCUUGAAAGAGAGGAAAUUCAGGAACUGUACCUGGGAGGUUGUCUGAGUGUAA